rnacentral:RNase_P_RNA from 11 species
GAAAAGACAGGAAGGAAGAAAAAAAGACAGCAGGAAAAAGAAUGGGAGAAUGACAACAUGCAGAAAAGUAUGGGCGCGGGUAUUUCUUAUCUUUCCUUGCUUUUUUCGAUUUUGUUGUCCUACGCCCUUUUGUGU